UACGUAGGGUGCAAGCGUUUGUCCGGAAUUAUUGGGCGUAAAGAGCUCGUAGGCGGUUUGUCGCGUCGGCUGUGAAAACUCGGGGGCUCAACCCCCGAGCCUGCAGUCGAUACGGGCAAACUAGAGUGUGGUAGGGGAGACUGGAAUUCCUGGUGUAGCGGUGAAAUGCGUAGAUAUCGGGAGGAAUACCAGUGGCGCAAGCGGCGCCCCUGGCCGUGACCUGACACUGAGCCACGACGGCGUGGGGAGCAAACGGG
rnacentral:rRNA from 1 species